UGAGGAAUAUUGGACAAUGGGCGCAAGCCUGAUCCAGCCAUGCCGCGUGCAGGAUGAAGGCCUUCGGGUUGUAAACUGCUUUUGUACGGAACGAAAAGACUCCUUCUAAUAAAGGGGGUCCAUGACGGUACCGUAAGAAUAAGCACCGGCUAACUACGUGCUAGCAGCCGCGGUAAUACGUAUGGUGCGAGCGUUAAUCGGAAUUACUGGGCGUAAAGCGUGCGCAGGCGGUGAUAUAAGACAGAUGUGAAAUCCCCGGGCUCAACCUGGGACCUGCAUUUGUGACUGUAUAGAUAGAGUACAGUAGAGGGGGAUGGAAUUCCGCGUGUAGCAGUGAAAUGCGUAGAUAUGCGGGGGAACACCGAUGGCGAAGGCAGCCCCCUGGGUCAAGAUUGACGCUCAUGCACGAAAGCGUGGGGAGCAAACA
rnacentral:rRNA from 1 species